rnacentral:lncRNA from 1 species
CAAGAAGACAAGAGUGAAGAAGAAGAUGACAAGUCAAAGGAGAAACAAGCAGAGGUCAUGGCACAAGACGCAGUUGCUCUCUUAUUGAAGCAUUCUGUAGGACAUCAUGUAAACAAAGAAGACGAAGAACUCAGUAAACAGGAAGAAAAUAAGCAAGGAAGUAGAAAGAAGAAGAAAAAGACGGCUAAAAAAGAAGUUGAUCCUGAUAAACCAGAAUAUCUUAAUGAAAGCACAGAUUAUGAUACAUGGGUACCUCCUAAAGGUAAAGUAUACAAUGUUUAAGAAUAUACAAUAUGCAUUUUAAAUCCAUUGCAGCUAAUGAGUAAUGCAUUAACUUUGUUGCAGGACAAUCUGGUGAUGGACGAACUUCUCUGAAUGACCGUUUGGGAUAUUGAUCGACGAACG